GGGGAAACAAUCCAAUCAGGAGAUUGUUUGGCUAGACCACGGAAUAGCAUCACAUUACCCUGUGACUAGGGUUGAGCAGUCCAACUAGAGGACUAUUGCUCUGCAGCACACACGCCGACAACACAUCGCACAUGCGGCUGAAACAAGUCUUAUGUGUGCAAUCUACCAGUCAAGGGCCUACGGCACACCCCGCCAAGGGUGUCCGGUAUCCUCCCACACGCCGACAACACAUCACACAUAUGGGUAACAUUCGUAUCCAAG
rnacentral:lncRNA from 1 species